rnacentral:rRNA from 1 species
UUUUGAUCUCAAAUCAGGUGGGAGGACCCGCUGAACUUAAGCAUAUCAUUAAGCGGAGGAAAAGAAACUAACAAGGAUUCCCUCAGUAACGGCGAGUGAACAGGGAAAAGCUCAGAUUUGAAAUCGGCGAGGUUUCCUCGUCGAGUUGUAGUCUGGAGAAGUAUUUUCAGUGGUCGCCUGGGUACAAGUUCUUUGGAAUGAGACAUCAGAGAGGGUGAGAAUCCCGUCUUUGGCCCAAGGUUGAUUACGUUAUGAUAUACUCUCAAAGAGUCGGGUUGUUUGGGAAUGCAGCCCAAAGUGGGUGGUAAAUUUCAUCUAAAGCUAAAUAACGGCAAGAGACCGAUAGCGAACAAGUACCGUGAGGGAAAGAUGAAAAGGACUUUGAAAAGAGAGUUAAAAGUACGUGAAAUUGUUAAAAGGGAAACGAUUGAAACCAGUGGUGCGUUGUGAAAUUCAGCCUACUUUUCGGAGUGGGUGCACUUUUUGCAUUGCAAGUCAACUUGGAUUAUGAGUGCUGGAAACAUGUAGCAGGAACGUAGCUAACUUUGGUUAGUGUUAUAGCCUGUUGCACUUGCAGUGUUUGUGAUUUUGAUCGCAGCGUCUUCCUGGCCUUCGGGCACAUUGGCGCUUAGAGAGUUGACGAAAUGGUUUUAACCGACCCGUCUUGAAACACGGACCAAGGAGUCUAA